rnacentral:rRNA from 1 species
UACGUAGGCAGCAAGCGUUGUUCGGAGUUACUGGGCGUAAAGGGUGUGUAGGCGGUCUUUUAAGUUUGGUGUGAAAUCUCCCGGCUCAACUGGGAGGGUGCGCCGAAAACUGGGAGGCUAGAGUACUGGAUGGGAGAGUGGAAUUCCUGGUGUAGCGGUGAAAUGCGUAGAUAUCAGGAGGAACACCGGUGGUGUAGACGGCAUCCUGGACCAUUACUGACACUGAAUAGCGAAAGCCAGGGGAGCAAACGGG